rnacentral:tRNA from 1 species
GGGGCCGUGGCGCAGCUGGGAGCGCGUCUGACUGGCAGUCAGAAGGUCAGGGGUUCGAAUCCCCUCGGCUCCACCA